UCGCAUUUAAAAACAUCCACAAGUUACGGAACAAAUAUUUCAAACCCUCUGCAAAACCCUAGGUCAUUGCACUUAUGUAGAAUCUGGCCGCUUCUCCCCCACCACCAUCUAGCACACACGCCACUGUCAUCACUCUCACUGUUGUCGAACACCAAUAUAGCCACCGUCAAUCGUCGUCUUCUUCUCUACAAACCCUAAGCCACCACAACCAUGGCCUUUCUUAACAAAUGCAACCAUUUGAAGCAAACGUUCACACGACUAUAGAACACUGCCAAUAAAACUUGUAUUGUGGCUUUAUUCAGAUUCGCCAUCAGUGGUUGUCGGUCAUCGUCUCCGGUCACCACUUGCAGCCGCUUCAUUCUUUUCUUCUCCUCUCAUUCUCUUUGAAACCAAGCAUGUUUCUUCCUUUAUUUCGUCAUCUAUUUUGUCAUUUAAACCAUUUUUCUUCUCAAUUUUGCCCUAAAAUCUUUAAUUGCAGGAACAUUUCACUACCAAAUCCAUUUACCACUAUACUUACAGGCAUGUUCUGCAAUUCUUUGAUCCCCAAUCACGACAAUCUAUACACCGGGAAUGAUUCUCUCUCCAAUGCAAUCAAAUCAUUCAAAAACACCUCUUAGCCAUUGUUUUUGGUCGAAGAGGAAAUAUGGAAGAUGGUUUUUGGUGGUUUGUUCUCGAUUUUUGAAGUUGGUUUUAAUGGUGAUGAUGAAAGAUGGUAGAGGGUGGUGUAAUCUGUAAUCGGUCGGCUAUGGUGGUUUGUGAUGGUGCGACGUAGGUGGUGUUCCAGCUAAGAGCGAGUCUCGACUAUCGAUAGAGAUGCUUGGUGAUGGUGAUAGCAGGUAGUGUUGUUGGCUGUAUAAGGUGGUGAUGGUUGUAGGAAUUUAAUGAUGCUGGAAUGAUGGUACUUGAACAGGUAUGUUUCCUGGAAGGGAAGGCAUGGUAGGAGAUGGUUGCGGUGGGUGUUGGUGGCGUAUAAGGGAGGUUGUGACAACCCGAAAUUUCCAUUUUGUACAAACUAUAUCACUUCAAUAGAAGUUAUAGCAGUCACAGUUAACUUUCAAACUUUCUACGUCAGUUUGAGUAAUUCAGGGUUUACACUUCAGGAAAUAUCAGGAGAGUGGGUGCACUAUGGUUUUGUGCAACACUGUUAUUCCAACACUCUAUUAUAUUAGAGAUCAUUUCAGGAAUAAAAAUAUUUUCUGCCAAAAAUAUUUCAGGACUAUAAA